GUGUGGAUGGAAGACUUGAUGCGUGGUUGCUGUGGUGUUUGGGGGCAGGUGGCAGCAGGUUACAGCGUGGAGAUGGUGCUGCCGGAGAGAACAUGAAGUGGUGGUUGGUUAUAGCGUGAGAGAAGAUGGUAGUGCGUUGGUGUGACUAAAUGUAUGGUGGAGGUGGUGUCUGAUGCCAGUGGGUGGAGAUGAGGGUGUGGGGUGGUGCUGCUGUGCGUGAAUCUGGCUGUCCAAAAUCCUUCCUCCUCCCCAAUCCGGCCGUCCUUGCUUUUCUUUUUAGAUGUAAUGCGACAAUGUUCUUCCCCCCUCGAAGCCUCUAUGGUGCCGCCUACUCUUAGGAAUUGCAGUCCCUUGAGAUCGUGGUUCC
rnacentral:lncRNA from 1 species